rnacentral:rRNA from 1 species
GGCGGACGGGUGAGUAAUGCCUAGGAAAUUGCCUUGAUGUGGGGGAUAACCAUUGGAAACGAUGGCUAAUACCGCAUAAUGCCUACGGGCCAAAGAGGGGGACCUUCGGGCCUCUCGCGUCAAGAUAUGCCUAGGUGGGAUUAGCUAGUUGGUGAGGUAAUGGCUCACCAAGGCGACGAUCCCUAGCUGGUCUGAGAGGAUGAUCAGCCACACUGGAACUGAGACACGGUCCAGACUCCUACGGGAGGCAGCAGUGGGGAAUAUUGCACAAUGGGCGAAAGCCUGAUGCAGCCAUGCCGCGUGUAUGAAGAAGGCCUUCGGGUUGUAAAGUACUUUCAGUUGUGAGGAAGGGUGUGUAGUUAAUAGCUGCGCAUCUUGACGUUAGCAACAGAAGAAGCACCGGCUAACUCCGUGCCAGCAGCCGCGGUAAUACGGAGGGUGCGAGCGUUAAUCGGAAUUACUGGGCGUAAAGCGCAUGCAGGUGGUUCAUUAAGUCAGAU